GGUUUAAUUCGAUGCAACGCGAAUAACCUUACCUGGCCUUGACAUCCACGGAACCCUGCAGAGAUGCGGGGGUGCCUUCGGGAACCGUGAGACAGGGUGCUGCAUGGCUGUCGUCAGCUCGUGUCGUGAGAUGUUGGGUUAAGUCCCGCAACGAGCGCAACCCUUGUCCCUAGUUGCCAGCAUUCAGUUGGGCACUCCAGGGAGACCGCCGGUGACAAACCGGAG
rnacentral:rRNA from 1 species